AUUGAACGCUGGCGGCAGGCCUAACACAUGCAAGUCGAGCGGAUGAAGGGAGCUUGCUCCUGGAUUCAGCGGCGGACGGGUGAGUAAUGCCUAGGAAUCUGCCUGGUAGUGGGGGAUAACGUCCGGAAACGGGCGCUAAUACCGCAUACGUCCUGAGGGAGAAAGUGGGGGAUCUUCGGACCUCACGCUAUCAGAUGAGCCUAGGUCGGAUUAGCUAGUUGGUGAGGUAAAGGCCUACCAAGGCGACGAUCCGUAACUGGUCUGAGAGGAUGAUCAGUCACACUGGAACUGAGACACGGUCCAGACUCCUACGGGAGGCAGCAGUAGGGAAUAUUGGACAAUGGGCGAAAGCCUGAUCCAGCCAUGCCGCGUGUGUGAAGAAGGUCUUCGGAUUGUAAAGCACUUUAAGUUGGGAGGAAGGGCAGUAAGUUAAUACCUUGCUGUUUUGACGUUACCAACAGAAUAAGCACCGGCUAACUUCGUG
rnacentral:rRNA from 1 species